CAGAAAGUGUGCGGUUCUCGCUGCUUCGGGCUGGACGUUGCGGCUAGGCGCCUCUAGGGCUUUGCUGCCUGGCGAGCGUCCUGUCUGUACGUCCCAAUCCCCGCGGACGUACCAACCCGAGGCUUCGGUGGGAUAUUCUGGAUUUUUUUCUAGCGCGGAUCGUGUGUUCGCUCUGGCGAUGCUCAUAGAAGAAAGGCACAGAGCUGUUCGACGAGGCGGGAUGCGCUGGUCAGAGUCCUCGGUGGCUUCCUCCGGCUGCUCUCGGCGCCGGUCGGCUCCUGGAGACCGCGCUGCAGCCGCCGCUACCCACACGGGUCCGCGGCGCGGUGGCGGCGCUUUGGCUUAGGGCGCCCGAUGGACAGUGGGGAAAGGGUUCGGGGCGCCGGCUCCCCUAACGUGGAUUACUUGGUGUUUAUCAGCUGGAUUUAGCAGUCCCACGACCUCGUCUCCAGCUGUGGAUUGUCUUUCCGCCUCCCGGCGCCUCUCCCACCUGGGGGUGAAGCCAGAGGUUCCUGCUGACAUGGAGCAAGGACAAGAGAAAGGCGUAGAAGGAGGCUGACCAAGGCCUGUUCCUGAUGGCCCAUGCUGCUCACUGGAAGCUCUGUGGAACUCUGGAAAAUGUGUCCCUGGUCCUCCUUUCAGGACUGGGCUGAGAUCAGACUCCCUCUUGAGAGGCAAAAGCCCUGGAUUCAAUUGAGGAAUGUUAUUUGGAGAAUAUAGAAACUUCUAGACCGGGGAGACAUUUGGGAAGGAGUAGUCUGUGUUGACUCGAAUGAACAAAGACACACAUCUCUGGACAUGGGGAAGGCUCACCAUCGCAGCUCAUCAACUGUCUUAUAGAAAACAAGCCUCCUGCUGCCACUACCCAGGACACUCUUCCCCACUCAGUCCCUGUCCCAGGUGCCACACUCUUCCCUACCUGACACUACCCCCUGUGCCCACCGUGCCUUUGGACCCAGGGAAUCUUCUUAUUUGCUCUAUUAUCUUUGAGCCGGAUACAGAGUGAACAGUUAACUACUUUUAAGUUGAAUAGCAUCUUGAUUUUUUAUUUCUGUUCCUUGUAAGGAGGUCAACUGUCUGCACAUGGUACACAGCCUGACUCCAGAGUGACACAAGAUCUGCCCGAGGUUCUGUGGUCUCUUGGAGGUCCGAGCAAGAGGAGAGGCCUGAGUAGGGCUGCCAUUUGCCGUGGUCCCCUUGUAUUGCUUGCAUCAUAGGCUGGUGUGCAUCUGGAUAGGCAGAGAUGAGCCCAUCACUCAUUCCAUCCUCUGUGAAAAAAAAUGCAGUGAGCCGUGAAGACUCGCAAAGGCUGCAGUCAGGGAUCAGCUUCUCCAGGUGCUUCAUGGCUGAGCAGUCAGCUCCAUUGGUUGUGCCUACUGAGAACCCCUUUCCCUGAUGACACAGGCAGCUGUCCAGAGGUCCAGAGCUACGACCUCCACUUGUGCAGUUGGAAAUCCAUCCUAAUGACAUCAUGAUUCCACCUUCUUGACUGUGCACUCGAAGACAUUUGAGCUUUUUUGUUUGUUUGUUUGUUUGUUUACAAAAUGGAUGGACAGUUUGUUUAUAAAUAAAACAAUCCGAGCUUCUUCA